UCCCGUUGCAUGUGCGGGUUAUCGCAUGCACCUCCCUGUUGGACUGGCCCCGGCUUCGUGCCGGGGCCUUUUU
rnacentral:ncRNA from 1 species